GUGUGUCUGUGUGGUGUUCCAGAAGAGAUUAGCAUCAGAAGACUAAAGAAGAUCUGCCCUCACCAAUGCAGAAGAAUCAGUUUCAAAAGCAAGUUUGCCAACCUGUAUCUUAAUUCAUCUUUGUGGCCAGAGAAGUGGAUUUACUGAUUUGUUUCAGCUGAUCAAUGUCUAUAACAAGCAAUGUUGAUGGGCUGAAAACCACACAGACUACCAGAGGGGUUGCUUUUCCGAAGAAUCAUGUAAGGAUAAAAGAGAAAGAAAGAGAGAAAGACCUUGGAACCCAACUAGUAUCUACCAAAUAGACAGGAUCUCACUGUGUUGCCCAGGCUGGUCGCCAACUCCUGGCCUCAAGUGUUCCUCUGGCCCUGGCCUCCCAAAGCACUGGGAUUACAGGGGCAGCUCUUCCCUGG
rnacentral:lncRNA from 10 species